UACGAAGGGUGCAAGCGUUACUCGGAAUUACUGGGCGUAAAGCGUGCGUAGGUGGUUCGUUAAGUCUGAUGUGGAAGCCCUGGGCUCAACCUGGGAAUGGCAUUGGAAACUGGCGACCUAGAGUGCGGUAGAGGGUAGUGGAAUUCCCGGUGUAGCAGUGAAAUGCGUAGAGAUCGGGAGGAACAUCCGUGGCGAAGGCGACUACCUGGACCAGCACUGACACUGAGGCACGAAAGCGUGGGGAGCAAACAGG
rnacentral:rRNA from 1 species